CGAUAACAUCUAAACUAGAAACGAAAACAACAUGUUUCAUAUAUAAAAGACUGAAAUAUUGUAUGGAAAUCAGUUUGCAAACCUCGUACGCAGAUACUUAAGCAAAAUGUACAAGUUUACUGUUCUUCUUGUUGUUCUUCUGUUGGUGGGCAGCAGCCUGCAGCAGGGUGGCAGCGCUGGUAGUGAAGCGGGUGGCGGUGCUAGUGGCGGUGCCAACUUUGGAGCAGGUGUGAGUGGAGGGUUUGGGGGCAGCGCCGGCGCUGGUGGCUCGGGGGGUGCCAGUGGCUCAGGGGGGAAGAAGUGAGAUAGAAUACUUCGGCAAACAGAGCUUCUGACAGCACUCCAUUACUAACCCACACAUCAAACAAUAGUUGUGUCAUGUAUCUUAUAUUGCAUAAAUGAUUAGAAAAUAAAUAAACAAUGUUACAGUA